GCCCGCCUAGCUCAAUCGGAUAGAGCGUCAGACUCUUAUCAUGUCUAGGCAUUGAGUGGCAUCUGAAGGCUGCGAGUUCGACCCUCGCGGUGGGCU